rnacentral:rRNA from 1 species
GACGAACGCUGGCGGCGCGCCUAACACAUGCAAGUCGAGCGGAGAUACUUGAAGGAAGUUUUCGGAUGGAAUUUGAGUAUUUUAGCGGCGGACGGGUGAGUAACGCGUGAGUGACCUGCCUUCCACAGGGGGAUAACGUACCGAAAGGUACACUAAUACCGCAUGAGACCAAAGCACUGCCUGGUGCAGGGGUCAAAGGAGCAAUCCGGUGGAAGAUGGACUCGCGUCCGAUUAGAUAGUUGGUGGGGUAACGGCCUACCAAGUCAGCGAUCGGUAGCCGACCUGAGAGGGUGAUCGGCCACAUUGGAACGGAGAGACGGUCCAAACUCCUACGGGAGGCAGCAGUGGGGAAUAUUGGGCAAUGGGGGAAACCCUGACCCAGCGACGCCGCGUGAGGGAAGAAGGUUUUCGGAUUGUAAACCUCUGUUCUUGGUGAAGAGGGAAAGACGGUAGCCAAGGAGGAAGCCCCGGCUAACUACGUGCCAGCCGCCGCCGUAA